UUUUUUUUUUUUUUUUUUUUUUUUUGGCUGGUAAUGUUUUCAUGCAGGAAAGUAGAGGUAAAGUGUGCUUGAGGAGGCAUUUUGGUACCCCUUUUAGAAACUGACCUCGGAGUCUCCCUUGUGGCUCAGCAGUAAUGAACCCAACUAGGAUCCAUGAGGACGUGGGUUUGAUCCCUGGCCUCACUCAGUGGGUUAAGGAUCUGGUAUUGCCGUGAACUGUGGUGUAGGUUCUGGACUCAGCUCGGAUCUGGCGUUGCUGUGGCUGUGGCGUAGGUCAGCAGCUGUAGCUCCACUUCGACACCUAGCCUGGGAACCUCCAUAUGCCGUGGGUGCAGCCCUAAAAAGACCAAAAACAAACAAAAAACUACCAAAAAACUCCUUUCUCUUCUACAGAAAAAAAAAAAUCUUUCUUAUUUAACCUAUAAAUGUCGGAGUACAGUUUUAAAAUUACAACAUUUACAUUAUUUAUAUCAUUACAAAUGCUGCAACUGCGAAGGGAAGUUUAACUUUGUACUUUUUGUGCUGUCCUUAGAGUGCGUCCAACUUAGGAUUCUACAGCUGACCCUUGAACAGUGCAGCGGUUCGUGGCCCCAACCCCCGCCUCCACAGCCAAAAAUUCAAGGAUAACUUUUGACUCCCAUAAAGCUUUACUAAUAGCCUGCUGUGGAGUGGAAGCUUUACCUGUCAAAGAGUCAGUUAACAUAUAUUUUGUGUGUUCUUUAUAUAUCUACAUAUAUUCAUGACAUACCUAACUUUUUCUUAAUUUCGGGGGGCGGGUAUUUCUAUGAUUACACAGUUCAUCUGUGAGUUUUUUCAAAUUGUUACAACUCUCCCCAAAUUUUUCCAAUAUAUUGACUGAAAAAAAAAAUCAGCCUAUAAGUAGACCCACACAGUUUCAACCUGUGUUAUUCAAGGGUCACCUGAGCAAUUAAAAACUGCCUUCACAAAUCUCUAAAAAUCAGUUCUUCCUCAGAGUGACUGUGUCCCCAGCAUGGCACAUGGUUAGUUCACAUCUUUCAACUUUUCAGUUUAAGAACUUUUCAAAUUUAGCUUUUUUGAGAGAGGUAAUUUAUUUACAUUAGUGAAAGGUUAAAAGUGUACAAAUGUUAAAUCUAGGUGGCAGGUAUAUGGGGUGUGUGUGUGUGUGUGUGUGUGUGUGUGUGUGCUUUUUAGGACCACACCUGUGGCAUCUGGAAGUUCCCAGGCAAAGGGUCCAGUUGGAGCUACGGCUGCCAGCCUAUCCCACAGCCACAGCAACUCGGGAUCUGAGCCUCAUCUGUGACCUACACCACAGCUCAUGGCAACGCCAGAUCCUUAACCUACUGAGCAAGGACAGGGAUUGAACCCGCAUCCUCAUGGAUACUAGUAGGGUUUUUAACCUGCUCAGCCACAACAGGAACUCCCUAUAUGGGAAUUUGUAAGUCAUUCUCUCUAUGUUUCUCUUUGAAAGUUAAAAUAAUUAAAUUUAAGCCAUAUAGAAAGAUAUACACAAUUGUCUUUACCUUGUUCCCUCAUGGAUACCCCUUUUAUUAGCAUAAAGCUUGACCCUUUGAGUCUUUGUUUUGCAGAUUCAAACUGUGUGUGUGUGUGUGUGUGUGUGUGUGUGUGUGCGCGCACGUGCGCGUGAGUUUGCAGCAGACUUUUGAUCACUGUCCAGGGAUUUCGAGACUGACAAUACUGGAUUUUUAUACUGCCCCAGUUUUGUUCAAAAGAUGUGAAUUUUGGAGUUCCCAUUGUGGCUUAGCGUUAAUGAACCCGACUGGUAUCCGUGAGGAUGAUGGUUCAAUUCCUUGGCCUUGCUCAGUGGAUUAGGAUCCGGCAUUGCUAUGGCUGUGAUGUAUGCCGGCAGCUGUAGCUCUCAUUCCACCUCUAGGCUGGGAACUUUCAUAUGGCCCUAAAAAGAAAAGAAAAGAAAAAGAUGUGACUUUUACGAAUACUGCCUUUGGAGUUCCCGUCGUGGCUCAGAGGAAACGACUCUGACUAAUAU
rnacentral:lncRNA from 1 species